CGGGUUCACGCCAUUCUCCUGAGUAGAGUAGCUGGGACUACAGGCGACCGCCACCACACCCAGCUAAUUUUUUUGUAUUUUUUUUAGUAGAGACGGGGUUUCACCGUGUUGGCCUGGAUGGUCUCGAGCUCCUGACCUAGCUACCUGCCUGCCUCAGCCUCCCAAAGUGCUGGGAUUACAGGGGUGAGCCACCACGCCCGGCCCAAGUCUGCUAUCUCUAUUCCAACAAGGCUGGUGAUGAAUACCAACAGUAACCCUGAGAAGUUCACCUUUGUCCCUUCCACUCAGCCCACUGUGUGCCAUACUGGGAACUGAAGAACUAGCCUCAGGGUAAAGAAAGCUAGUGAUUGCAAUCAAAAUGAAGCAGAACAUCACAUAAGAUUUGAUUCCAUGGGAUUAUCCCAGAACCCCACGUUCCUAGACCUGAUACCAUCUUCAAGCAGAAGGUGGAAUUGACUUUCCCUAUAUUCCAACUUUUCAGCUGUAAUUCCUCCUUUUGGCAUGUGCCCCAUUUAAGAUGCCUUUGAUGUUCAAGUUAACUUGGUUUUAUAUUUAGUAAGCAUUGUACAAGUAUAGCAAGCAGGAGUGUACUUUGAUCAUGACUGCCCAUUUCUCACUGUCACUCCAUUUCUGUAGAUCAGUGAUUUUCAAAGCAUAGUUCUCAGACCUGUGACAACAUCAGCACCUUGGAAUAUGUAGAAAUGCAGAUUCUUAGGCCCCACCUCACAAAACUCUGGGAUGGAGUCUAGCAAUCUGUGUUUUAAUAAGUUUUUCAGGUCAUUCUAAUACAUGCUAAAGCUUGAGAGCCCCUGCUCUGGUAUCCAUGAGAUAGCAGUUUAUGCCUUCUAUUGUGAAGCUCAAAGCCAACCAGAUAGUACAGAACCUCUAGGAGAAAGGCAGAGGAUCUGAAGCUGAUGUUGGGGCAAAACACAGAAGCCACCUUUAGGCUAAACAACUGUAGCAAUAUUGGCAGCAUAAGCAGCAGAGGGCAGAAGGGGCUAUGACCAUUGAGUCUCCUUUUGCUGGGUUUCCCACUAACCUCUUUUGUCUCCUCUGUGUCCCUGGAUUUUCUUUCAGUUGAUCAGCACUUGGGAGUAUACACAUUCCUAUUUGAACAUUACUCCUUCCACAGACAGUGAGUGGCUCUCUUUCUCAUCUUCCAAAAUAUGAACGUGUACACAGAGUUCGUAAUUUUAUUACAUGGGAGCCAAAUAAAC
rnacentral:lncRNA from 10 species